rnacentral:rRNA from 1 species
CCUACGGGAGGCAGCAGUAGGGAAUUUUCCACAAUGGGCGAAAGCCUGAUGGAGCAACGCCGCGUGGGUGAAGAAGGUCUUCGGAUCGUAAAACCCUGUUGUUAGAGAAGAAAGUGCGUGAGAGUAACUGUUCACGUUUCGACGGUAUCUAACCAGAAAGCCACGGCUAACUACGUGCCAGCAGCCGCGGUAAUACGUAGGUGGCAAGCGUUAUCCGGAUUUAUUUGGCGUAAAGGGAACGCAGGCGGUCUCUUAAGUCUGAUGUGAAAGCCUUCGGCUUAACCGGAGUAGUUCAUUGGAAACUGGGAGACUUGAGUGCAGAAGAGGAGAGUGGAACUCCAUGUGUAGCGGUGAAAUGCGUAGAUAUAUGGAAGAACACCAGUGGCGAAAGCGGCUCUCUGGUCUGUAACUGACGCUGAGGUUCGAAAGCGUGGGUAGCAAACAGGAUUAGAUACCCUUGUAGUC